rnacentral:tRNA from 1 species
GGCGGCGUAGACAAGUGGUUAAGUCACAGGAUUUUGAUUCCUGGGGUCGAAGGUUCGAAUCCUUCCGCCGCUGCCA